GUGGGGCGGGGGUGGGGGUGAGAACAGUAAGAAGAGGAACUGGUCUAUGGGAGAGUGGAGGGUAGAGAUCCCAAACAUGACUGCAAGUUUUACUUGGGCCUGUGCGCUUCACCAAAGAGAGAGAAAUAGCUCCUCAGUUGCUUGAAAAGAAAAUGUAAUAGGUUCUAUUUUAGACUUCUUAAUUGUCUGUGUUUUGGAGGACCAAAGAAGACAAAUAAUUCUGCACCCAGCAAGAGGAGAUAAUGAGUGCACAGAGUUUAAUGCACGAUUUCCUGUUUUAAAACAAAUGAACAUACUCAAAAUAAAAAAAAAUUAAAAGUACAGAGGCUUUGCAUUGCUAUUAUUCAAGUGAAAAAAAAGAAAAUAGAAAAAAUAAAAAUGAUUUAAACACAAAGAGGGAAAUUGAAGAUGAAGAAAGUAUAGAAUAAAUUCAAGUUCAAAUGAAUCUGGAUGCACUCCGUGGCCCUCAGUCUGCAGGCUUCUGAGGUGGGCUCAUCCAAAUAGUCAGAAAAGCUGGCCCCUGGAGAAGAGAGCAGCUAGCACUGAACAGGACACUUGUGCCGGGGUCUUUCAGACUUUGUCUGUCUAAUCCCUUGCUAUUUAAAGUGUGGUCCUGGACCAGCAGCCAGGGCAUAAAGAAUGCAGAUUCCCACUUUGGUGAGUGGUGUUCUGGGGUCUUAAACACUAGCAAGUGGCCAUCUAAGAUGCUUCAAUUGGUCUCAACCCAUCUGGAGCAAAGGAGAUUGAAGAACGCCAAAGACACAAGGUAAUUAGGAGCCCGAGACAGAAAGGGACACAUAAACCAGAGACUAUAUCAGCCUGAGACCAGAAGAACUAGAUUGUGCCCAGCUACAACUGAUGAUUGCCCUCACAGGGAACAAAAAAGAGAAUCCCUGAGGGAGCAGGAGAGCGGUGCAACACAGACCUCAAAUUCUCGUGGAAAGACCGGACUUAAUGGUCUGAUUGAGACUAGAAGGAGCCUGCAGGUCGUGGUUCCCAGACCUUCUGUUAGCCCAAGACAGGAACCAUUCCCAAAACCAACUCUUCAGACAGGGAUUGGACUGGACCGUGGUAUAGAAAAUGAUUCUGGCGAAGAAUGAGCUUCUUGGAUCAAGUAGAUGCAUGAGACUAUGUGUGUAGCUCCUGUCUGGAGGGGAGAUGAGAGGGGCGAGGGGGUCAGAAGCUGGCCAAAUGGACAUGAAAAUAGAGGGUGCUGUCUCAUUAGGGGGAGAGCAACUAGGAGCAACCAGAAGUAUACAGCAAGGUGUGUAUAAAUUUUUGUAUGAGAGACUGACUUGAUUUGUAAACUUUUACUUAAAGCACAAUAAAAAUUAAAAAAAAAAAAAAAGGGACGCAAAA